GACGAACGCUGGCGGCGUGCUUAACACAUGCAAGUCGAACGAAGUGGCGCACGGGCGAGUAACGCGUAAUCAACCUGCCCUUCAGAGGGGGACAACAGUUGGAAACGACUGCUAAUACCGCAUACUGAAGGAGGGGAUUGCGUCUGAUUUGGUAGUUGGAGGGGUAACGGCCCACAAAGGCGAUGAUCAGUAGCCGGUCUGGGAGGAAGAACGGCCAGAAUGGGACUGUGACACGGCCCAGACUCCGACGGGAGGCAGCAGUGGGGAAUCUGCCGCAAUGGGCGAAAGUCUGACGGAGCAACGCCGCGUGGGUGAUGACGGCCUUCGGGUUGUAAAGCUCUGUUAAUCGGGACGCGGUACCGGAAUAGAAAGCCACGGCUAACUACGUGCCAGCAGCCGCGGUAAUUC
rnacentral:rRNA from 1 species